rnacentral:Y_RNA from 1 species
UGUUGGUCUGAAGGUAGUGAGUUAUCUCAAUUGAUUGUUCACAGUUCAUUACAAAUUGAACUCCUCAUUCUACUUUACUUUUCCCCCCCCUUUUCACGACAGCACUUGACUAGUCUUAA